rnacentral:rRNA from 1 species
UACGGAGGAUGCAAGCGUUAUCAGGAAUGAUUGGGCGUAAAGCGUCCGCAGGUGGCUAUGUAAGUCUGCUGUUAAAGAGUGAGGCUCAACCUCAUAAGAGCAGUGGAAACUACAUGGCUAGAGUGCGUUCGGGGCAGAGGGAAUUCCUGGUGUAGCGGUGAAAUGCGUAGAGAUCAGGAAGAACACCGGUGGCGAAAGCGCUCUGCUAGGCCGCAACUGACACUCAUGGACGAAAGCUAGGGGAGCGAAUGGG